rnacentral:rRNA from 1 species
AGGAUCCUACGGGGGGCAGCAGUGAGGAAUAUUGGUCAAUGGGCGCGAGCCUGAACCAGCCAAGUAGCGUGAAGGAUGACUGCCCUACGGGUUGUAAACUUCUUUUAUAAAGGAAUAAAGUGAGGCACGUGUGCCUUUUUGUAUGUACUUUAUGAAUAGGGAUCGGCUAACUCCGUGCCAGCAGCCGCGGUAAUACGGAGGAUGCGAGCGUUAUCCGGAUUUAUUGGGUUUAAAGGGUGCGUAGGCGGACUGUCAAGUCAGCGGUAAAAUACGGGGGCUCAACCUCCGCCCGCCGUUGAAACUGA